GCAUCAGAAAGAGUCCAGAGCUGGUGGGCUGGGCAGGAGCACUCUGCUUGAGACUGAGCAGGUGCAAGCUCAAGAGUGACCCUAGAAUAGUUUCAGAAAGAAGGACCCAAAGCAGGGGUUGCUCUGUGCUACUAAGCCGGGAGCAGUUUUUCGCAUACGCAAUGGCUGACCUACUUUCAAUGCAUGUUCAUAAAAUCCGUAAUUAUUUAUUCAGCACAUAUAUAGUGAGUCCAUAGCUGUGUCAGGUCCUAUGUCGGACAAUUCGUUUUGAUGAAAUGCACAUGAAGUAACUGACUCGGGAGGUUUUACUCAGUCCCACCUAGGAGGUGUUGACAGCACAGAAGGACCCCGGGGCCUUCCUCAGACGGUGACGGAAAAGCAAACACGGGAUCCUUUCAUCCACAGCCAUCCAGUCAGCUCCUGGAAUCCCUGGGUGCGUCGCUGCCCAACUGUGCUCCAUAGGGGCUUGCUUCAACACCUGAUUUUCCAGAGUUUAAAAUGGGGCCUUGUGGAGAAGUACCUAAGAAUCUUUGAACCUCAAGUCCUCCAAGUUCACGAGGAAAUAAACAUUAGAAUCACA